AACAAAACAAGAAAAACAGAGACCCAAGCUUCUACUAUCUUCCUCGUCAUUACUGCCUUGUCGUUGUUAAAGUGGCACUUCCUUCUUCUAGGGUUUUAGAAACCAGUCUCAGGACUCCACUUUCUUGUUCUUCUAGGGUUUUAGGAGCCACUCUCACAAGGUUUGCAUCAACAUGGCCCCCGAUGCUUCAGACGCUCUCGCAGCGAGGGAGACAGUCCAACAAUUUCUCAACGCCGCUCGUAUUGGAAACAUUGAUCUUCUGAAGAAUUUGGCUGCUAGGCUUGAUGAUGGGAAGGGAUUGUCGGGAACUGUGGCUGACAUUAAGGAUGCUAAUAAGCGAGGUGCACUUCAUUUUGCGGCAAGAGAGGGAAAGACUGAGGUGUGCAAGUAUUUGAUUGAGGAUUUGAAGCUUGACGUUGAUACAAGAGAUGAAGAUGGUGAAACCCCACUUAUUCAUGCUGCUCGACAAGGACACACCGAUACUGCAAAAUACCUUGUUGAGAGUGGUGCUAAUCCUGCAAUAGCAAGUGAUUUGGGAGCCACAGCCCUUCAUCAUUCUGCAGGCAUCGGAAAUAUUGAGCUGCUCAAGUUUUUACUCUCAAGAGGUCCUGAUGUUAAUUCUCAGAGUGAUGCGGGCACCCCUUUGAUUUGGGCUGCUGGUCAUGCCCAACAGGAAGCUGUAAAACUGCUUCUUGAGCACCAUGCUAAUCCCAAUGCUGAAACUGAUGAUGAUAUUACCCCCCUAUUGUCAGCAGUGGCUGCUGGUUCUCUGGCUUGCUUGGAUUUGUUGAUUCAGGCAGGUGCAAAAGUUAAUAUUAGUGCUGGUGGAGCAACCCCUCUUCAUAUUGCUGCUGAUAGCGGGAACCUUGAAAUUAUUAAUAGUUUGUUACAAGCUGGGGCCGAUCCUAAUGCCACUGAUGAGGAUGGGCUAAAGCCAAUACAGGUUGCAGGAGCUAGAGGUAGUCGGGCAGGUGUCGAGAUUCUUCUUCCCUUGACUUCAGCAGUCAAGGAAAUUCCCAAUUGGACUGCUGACAGUAUAAUCGAGUAUAUGCAGAAUGAAACCAACAAAGAUCAGGAGGUUGCCAGAAAUCUGGAGGUUAAUAAACAUAAAGACUCUGCAGCACGAGAGCAAAAUUUACCUGAGGUGUCACCCGAAGCAAAAAAGAAAGCCGCAGAGGCCAAAUCUAGAGGGGAUGAUGCUUUCAAUACAAAGGAUUUUCAUACAGCGGUUGAUGCCUAUACACAGGCCAUCGACCUGGAUCCAACUGAUGGUACGUUAUUUUCCAAUCGAAGUCUUUGCUGGAUACGGUUAGGUCAAGCGGAGCAUGCCUUAGCAGAUGCAAAGGCAUGCAGAGCAUUGAAACCAGAUUGGCCUAAAGCUUGCUAUCGCGAAGGUGCAGCUUUACGAUUAUUGCAGAGGUUUGAAGAAGCAGCAAACUCUUUCUACGAGGGCGUCCAGCUUGAUCCUAACAAUAUGGCCCUAGUUAAUGCUUUCAGGGAAGCAGUUGAAGCAGGUAGAAAGUUUCAUGGCACAGAUAAACAAAAAUCAUAAUCCAUCAUCCAUGGUCUGAUUUUAGAGAUGAUCAGAUCUAAUAGUGCUGACCAGGAGUGAUUUAAGAUGUCAACACGUUUCAGAAUACCUGUAGUUGAUCGAUUUUCCGGUCAAGUAACAAGCUUAGCCCACAUUGUUAAUGUGAACAAGACUAUGAAGGAGAAGCUUAUCCCACGACAGUUAGAAUGUUCAAGAGAACAAUUUUUGGGCGAUUUGUAGACAUUGACAUGGUGUUCAACAACCCAAUUAUCCAUCAUAUGUUGUUGAAAGAAGUGAAGAGCACAAGAGUUGACUCAAUGAGAUUCUCUAUUGGUGCAAAGGUCGUCAUGUUUUCGAAGGAUGAUUUUUUUAUGACUGGUUUGUGGCGAUCCCCUACGCGAGUUGAUCAGAAUGAGCAGUCCUCCUAUGAACUUGCAAUCAAGUAUUUCGGUAAUCAAGUGAUGAAGGACACCUUACAUAUCAGUCUACUAGAAGAAAAAUACAAGGAGUUGAAGUUUGAAGAUGACAAGGAUGCUGUUAAGAUCACAUUAACGUACUACACAGAGGUUGUAAUGAUGGGAAAGCAUAAGUAGAAAAGUGCAGUGGACCUUAAACGUUUUAAGGACGUUCAUAACAUAGAGUACUACAAUAGUCUAAAUUGGGAUACCAUUAUUUGGGAGAGGGCACUUGAUGCCCUAAAGAUUGCAUUGAAUGAUAAGAGUAGUUUAUACAAGAUGAAGGUGAAAGGAAAUAAAAAUUAUGUCGUGAAGUACUAUUUGCGUGAAUUUCCACAAGCGUUCCAGGUAUGGACGUACGAGAUUCUAGCAGCAUCGAUAGUUGGGAACAUUGCGGAGCGAAGGAGCAAAGUGGCUUUGCCUCGUAUAUUAUGAUGAUCAUGCUCUCACUCAAUGUCCUUCAAAGUACUCGAGAGAGACAUAUUCGAGUCUAACAAUACAAAGGUUAAAGAAGAUCUUGCCAUGACCGACAUUGAGAGGGAGUUUGGGGAUACCCCAAUGGACAGGCGACCUAUAUUCGAUCUAGGUGUCAAUGAUGAUAGUGCUGAAAGUGGCAGUAAGUCGAGUAGUGGGGGUAUUGUGGAGGUAACAAUGAUGAACACGAGCAUUCUCAACACGAGGAUGCUGAAUGUGAAAGGGUGGAGGGAAGGGAUGAACAUAAGCAUUCUGAGCACGAGGAUGCUGAAUGUGGAAGGGGGGAGGAAGGGACAUACACACCUAGUGAUGAUAUGUUCCAUGAUGUGAUGGGGGAUGUACGCAAUGAGGAUGAGUUGAACCCACUUGAUGUCCAUCUUGCGGAUUUCCAUAGAGAGCGAUCUAUGGAUGAUAAGUGUCCUGAGUGUGUUGGCCGCAGGGAGGGAGCCAAUCCCAAUGAUUCUAUUUAUUCGUACAUGCGGAGCAUUAACAGCUCACUAUCGAGGAAUCUCGAAGAACUACUCGUAAGAGGAAAGGUGUUGAUAAAUAUACACCUCCAGCUCAACUAAAGAAGAAAAGUGUGGAUUUUAGGGUAUACCUUCCGUUUGAAGAGGUUAAAUAUCCUCUCCCGGGUGUGCCUACGUCAUUAUUCAGAGCGAUUAUCGGGUACAACGUAGCAUAUGACGUUCUACUUAAUAUCUUUACAGAAAUGAUGGGCUGGAUCAUAGAUGAGAAUACUGAUAAUGAGGUUCGAGAGAAUUCCUUUAAGCCACUAUUGAAGCAAUUUUUCAAGGAAUUGAUUGAACCGAGUUCGUGGGUUGAGUGCGAUACCAUAAAUACUCACCAUCUUGCCAAUUGGAGUAACGAGUCACCUUAAUGCUCGUAGCGGGGUAUUUAAACAAAUGAAGAAUAAGUCGAGACUAGAGGCUGCCCUAGUAUGGGAGGAUGAAGACACGUACAAGGACUACGUCACCGAUAAAUUCGAUGUCAUAUGGGCAGACGUGGAUUUCGUGUAUACGACAAUGAACAUCAAUGAGCACUGGAUGGUCUUUGCAAUGGACAUUAAUAGAGGUCAUAUAUUCGUGUUCGAUUCACUUCCGUCAUACACACCAAUGACGAAGCCGUGGACUUGGCUGGAGCCAUUGACUGUCACAGUACCAUCCCUACUUCACUACUAUGAUGUGGAUCGUUCAAAGUCGGACCUAUCCACAUACCGUUGAAAAAUCACCCGACCUAUGAACGCCAAAAUACAACACGGCUCGCUUGAUUGUGGCAUCUUUGCAAUAAAAUUACUAGAACAUUUGGUGACUAGUGUUGAUCCUUCUAUAAUCACUCAGGAGAAAAUGAGUGAAUAUAUGAUGCAGUCAACGUGUCAAUUGUGGGCAAACACUCCGUAUUUUUUAUGUGUAUA